GUUAAGGAAUAAAUAAAAUGCACAUAGAGGGACUAAUAUAUGGUUUUUGUUUAUUGAUAUAUAUGACUAUGAAUUUUAGUUUUGCUAAUAUGGUGUAUACUAAAAGAUUAUGUCGACUUGUGUAUGAUGUAUAUAUUUUUGAUUUGUUGUUAAGAUGGAUGAAGAUUAAUGGACGUAUGACAAUAUAAUGCCUGAAUAAGUUGAUAUGGAUUAUGAAAAUGAACAAGAAUGUGGUGUGAAUGAACCACAUGUUGAUUGUUUGGAUGCUUUUAAUACUUCUCAGGUAAUAAUGUUCUUUAUUUUGAGUCAUUUGAUGAAAUGUUUAUGUUGUAGACAACAUAAAUUGUCUGGGUUGCGUUGUAGUUCUUUGGUAACUAAGAUGAUGUUUUGCAGUUGGCUCGAUCGGUUGCCCAUGAAAACGGAUUUGUUGCAGUCAUUAUGAGGUCUAACACACAUACUAGUAGUAGAGGAGAAAGAUCAUUUGUGUUAAUUAGUUGUGAAAGGAGUGGUCAGUAUAAGUGUAGGAAGAAGGAAUUUGUUAAAAGAGACACUAAGAGUCAGAAAUGUGGUUGUCCGUUCAAGCUUCGUGAGAAACCAGUGAUUGGAGGGCAAGGUUGGAUGGUCAAGUUGAUCUGUGGGAUUCAUAAUCAUGAAUUGGUCAAGUUAUUAGUUGGACAUCCAUACGUUGGGCGAUUGACUAAGGAUGAGAAGACAAUUAUUGUUGAUAUGACAAAGUCGAUGGUGAAACCAAGAAACAUCCUGCUAACGUUGAAGGAGCACAAUGCCAAUAGUUGUACAACAAUCAAACAAAUAUACAAUGCACGAAGUGCAUACCGUUCUUCCAUUAGAGGAAGUGAUACUGAAAUGCAACAUCUAAUGAAACUUCUUGAACGGGAUUAAUAUAUUCAUUGGCAUAGACUAAAGGAUGAAGUCGUGGUAUGUGAUCUAUUUUGGUGUCACCCUGAUGCAGUAAAGUUAUGCAAUGCAUGUCAUUUGGUGUUUUUGAUAGACAGUACCUACAAAACAAAUAGGUACAGACUCCCACUACUUGACUUUGUUGGGGUGACACCAACGAGGAUGACAUUCUCUGUUGGGUUUUGCAUGUCUGGAGGGUGAAUGUGUUAAUAAUGUUGUAUGGGUUUUGGAACGAUUUCAAGGUCUAUUUUUAAGACGUGAUUGUCUCCAUGUAGUUAUUGUGACUGAUAGAGACCUAGCAUUGAUGAAUGCAGUGAAAACUAUGUUCCAUGAGUGUACAAACUUGUUGUGCAGGUUUCACAUCGCCAAGAAUGUCAAGGCCAAAUGCAAAUCCUUAAUUGGUCAAAAAAAUGCUUGGGAGUAUGUCAUGGAUGUAGGGAAUAGUCUGGUUGAUUGUCCUUCUGAACAGUAAUUCGUUGAGUGCCUUCAGAAGUUUCAAAUGGCUUGUUCACCUUGACCAAUGUUCAUUGACUAUGUUAACAAAACAUGGAUAAUCCCACACAAGAAAAAAUUUAUUACAGCCUGGAUGAAUAAGGUGAUGCACUUAGGCAACACAACAACAAACAAGUAUUAAAAUGUUACAGUUUUUCUAGUAAUGUUUAUUAAUUAAUGGAAUUUAAUUGUUGUAUAUGUUUAUUUUUUUUUGUGUAUUUCAAAUGUAAGGUUGAAUAUGCUCAUUGGGAUUUAAAAAGAGUAUUACAUAAUAGCCCUGGAGACCUGUGUAGUGUUUGGGAUGCCAUGACAACAUGAUCACGCUGCAACACACUCAAAUUAAAACAUCCUUUGAAACAAAUACACAUGUGGUUGGACAUGUAUUUAAAAAAACCUUGUACAAGAGGCUUCUUGGAAUGGUUUUAAGGUACGCUUUAAAUGAGAUUGUUGCUGAGUUUGAGCGUGUAUAUUAUGCUGGCAAGAAUCCUUCUGCUUGUGGUUGUGUGAUGAGAACCACACACAGUCUUCCUUGUGCAUGUGAGCUAUCUAGGUAUGUUGUUAGCAGCAUCCCACUAGAUUCAAUCCAUAUGUUUUGAAGGAGACUUAGUUUUUCAGACCAAGGGUUAUGUGAGGCCGAAGUCACCAUCAAGGAAGAGAUCAAGACCAUAUCUAAAAGAUUUGAGGAACUUGAUGUUUGUGAUAAAGUUACUCUCAAGAGUUAUACUUCGAGAAAUUACAUACCCUGAUCAAAACUCUAUGUGUCCUCCUCUAUCAAAGGUCAACACUAAAGGUGCACUGAAGAAACCGAUGAACAGAAACCAAAGAUCAACAAAGCGUGAUCCGUCUUAUUGGGGGUAUGUUGAUUCUUUUCAUUAUGUUCAAAAUAGAAACUCUUCAGGGAAACGUAGUGCAUCAUCUUCUGACCUGCCGAAGCCAACAAGGAUCAUCCCGAUGUUGGAUCAAUUUGAGCCAUUUAUUGUAGGGUUUCAUGGUCGGAUGACUAUAUCAACCUCCUCGGUGGCACAAACAGAUUUGAUGAAUUAAGGCUGUCCCUACUUGUUGAUGGGUUUUCCAAGGUUAGUGUGGAUAAGUGGAUGAAUAUAACGGAGAUGGGAUAUGUCAUUGCAUCAAGGUAUAAUGUAAUUCUUGUAUCGUUGUCCCGACAACAAAGCAUGACAUUUUUUCCUCUUAGAAGUCAACCACCACCAGUUUCUUCUGUGCACCGCAUUAUAUAUGUCGGUCACGUGUUUGGAAAUUAUUUUGUUCAGGUUUAUUUGAAAGACCGUUGUCCUUUACCACCACUAGCAUUGUUAUGGUCUAGGAAUUCUUAUCCUCAGGUAAAGCAGUGACCAACUCCAUAUAUUAGUAGAAUGCAACAGUACAAAAACUUGAUGAUGUUGAAAAGAGACUAUGUUGACCUAAAUGAAGACUGAACAUGCAUCGUUGUUAUGGACUGUGACACUUGUUUAUCUAAUUUUAUUAAUUAUGUGAUAUAAUUGGUUGUGGAGGGCCUAAUAUUGUACAAUUUCUUGACAUUGAAAAUCAUUUUUGUGAUUUGUUAAUAAUAUCUUUCAUGGUUCAUAUGAUAACAUAAA